rnacentral:rRNA from 1 species
AUUGAACGCUGGCGGAAUGCUUUACACAUGCAAGUCGAACGGCAGCACGGGGCAACCUGGUGGCGAGUGGCGAACGGGUGAGUAAUACAUCGGAACGUGCCCAAUCGUGGGGGAUAACGUAGCGAAAGUUACGCUAAUACCGCAUACGAUCUACGGAUGAAAGCGGGGGAUCGCAAGACCUCGCGCGAAUGGAGCGGCCGAUGUCAGAUUAGGUAGUUGGUGGGGUAAAGGCUCACCAAGCCAACGAUCUGUAGCUGGUCUGAGAGGACGACCAGCCACACUGGAACUGAGACACGGUCCAGACUCCUACGGGAGGCAGCAGUGGGGAAUUUUGGACAAUGGGCGCAAGCCUGAUCCAGCCAUUCCGCGUGCAGGAUGAAGGCCUUCGGGUUGUAAACUGCUUUUGUACGGAACGAAACGGUACUGCCCUAAUACGGCGGGCUAAUGACGGUACGUAACGAAUAAGCACCGGCUAACUACGUGCACAGCCGCGGUAAGGAGU